ACUCCUACGGGGAGGCAGCAGUGGGGAAUAUUGGCACAAUGGGGGGAAACCCUGAUGCAGCCAUGCCGCGUGUGUGAAGAAGGCCUUCGGGUUGUAAAGCACUUUCAGCGAGGAGGAAAGGGUGUGUGCUAAUACCAUACAUCUGUGACGUUACUCGCAGAAGAAGCACCGGCAUAACUCCGUGCCAGCAGCCGCGGUAAUACGGAGGGUGCGAGCGUUAAUCGGAAUUACUGGGCGUAAAGCGUGCGCAGGCGGUUUGUUAAGCGAGAUGUGAAAGCCCGGGCUCAACCUGGGAAUUGCAUUUCGAACUGGCAAGCUAGAGUCUUGUAGAGGGGGGUAGAAUUCAGGUGUAGCGGUGAAAUGCGUAGAGAUCUGAAGGAAUACCGGUGGCGAAGGCGGCCCCCUGGCACAAAGACUGACGCUCAUGCACGAAAGCGUGGGGAGCAAACAGGAUUAGAUACCCUGGUAGG
rnacentral:rRNA from 1 species